AUAUAACCCGGACUGGUACGUCUGCUGUAAAACGCAACGGAUCGGAAAGGGAAAUAUCAUAUACCCUAUGUUUAUUUUACCUUUGUUGCUUUGGCGGGCCGCUUUUUUAGGCGUCGGCCCCGGUUGAUCGCGCCCGCCAGAGGACCCAAACUCAGUUAUUUAUGUUGUCCGAGUAAUAUAUAAUAUUUA
rnacentral:misc_RNA from 1 species